UACGUAGGUGACAAGCGUUGUCCGGAUUUACUGGGCGUAAAGAGCGCGCAGGCGGUCGUUCAAGUCGAGUGUGAAAGCCCCCGGCUCAACUGGGGAGGGUCAUUCGAUACUGAUCGACUCGAAGGCAGGAGAGGGAAGUGGAAUUCCCGGUGUAGUGGUGAAAUGCGUAGAUAUCGGGAGGAACACCAGUGGCGAAGGCGGUCUGCUGGGCAGUUGCUGACACUGAGGCGCGACAGCGUGGGGAGCAAACAGG
rnacentral:rRNA from 1 species